GGCCUAACACAUGCAAGUCGAACGCGUGUAGCAAUACACGAGUGGCGCACGGGUGAGUAACGCGUGGAUAUCUGCCUUUUGGUUCGGAAUAACUCCGGGAAACUGGAGCUAAUACCGGAUGGUUCCUUCGGGAUAAAGAUUUAUCGCCAAAAGAUGAGUCCGCGUACGAUUAGCUAGUUGGUGAGGUAAUGGCUCACCAAGGCGACGAUCGUUAGCUGGUCUGAGAGGACGAUCAGCCACACUGGGACUGAGACACGGCCCAGACUCCUACGGGAGGCAGCAGUGGGGAAUAUUGGACAAUGGGGGCAACCCUGAUCCAGCCAUGCCGCGUGAGUGAUGAAGGCCUUCGGGUUGUAAAGCUCUUUUGGCGGGGACGAUGAUGACGGUACCCGCAGAAUAAGCCCCGGCUAACUUCGUGCCAGCAGCCGCGGUAAGACGAAGGGGGCUAGCGUUGUUCGGAAUUACUGGGCGUAAAGCGAGUGUAGGUGGUUGUCCAAGUUGGAUGUGAAA
rnacentral:rRNA from 1 species